UUGAUCCUGGCUCAGGAUGAACGCUAGCGGCAGGCUUAAUACAUGCAAGUCGAACGGAAACAGGCGGUAGCAAUACUGCGCUGUCGAGUGGCGCACGGGUGCGUAACACGUAUGCAACCUACCCUUAACUGGGGAAUAACCCUGUGAAAGCGGGGCUAAUACCCCAUAAUAUUAUGGUAAGGCAUCUUACUAUUAUCAAAGAUUUAUCGGUUAGGGAUGGGCAUGCGCCCCAUUAGUUAGUUGGUUAGGUAACGGCUAACCAAGACUGUGAUGGGUAGGGGUUCUGAGAGGAUUAUCCCCCACACUGGUACUGAGACACGGACCAGACUCCUACGGGAGGCAGCAGUAAGGAAUAUUGGGCAAUGGACGCAAGUCUGACCCAGCCAUGCCGCGUGCAGGAUGACGGCCUUAUGGGUUGUAAACUGCUUUUGUAUGGGAUUAAAGUGUUGUACGUGUACGACAUUGCAAGUACCAUACGAAUAAGCAUCGGCUAACUCCGUGCCAGCAGCCGCGGUAAUACGGAGGAUGCAAGCGUUAUCCGGAAUCAUUGGGUUUAAAGGGUGCGUAGGUUGAUUAUUAAGUCAGUGGUGAAAAUUCCGGGCUCAACCCGGGACUUGCCGUUGAAACUGAUAAUCUUGAGUGUAACUGAUGUGGGCGGAAUGUGUCAAGUAGCGGUGAAAUGCAUAGAUAUGACACAGAACACCGAUAGCGAAGGCAGCUCACAAAAUUACAACUGACACUGAGGCACGAAAGCGUGGGUAUCAAACAGGAUUAGAUACCCUGGUAGUCCACGCUGUAAACGAUGAUCACUAGCUGUUUGCGAUACAUUGUAAGUGGUUAAGCGAAAGCGAUAAGUGAUCCACCUGGGGAGUACGUCGGCAACGAUGAAACUCAAAGGAAUUGACGGGGGCCCGCACAAGCGGAGGAGCAUGUGGUUUAAUUCGAUGAUACGCGAGGAACCUUACCUGGGCUUGAACGUAUGGUGCAUGAGUGUGAAAGCACUCUUUCCUUCACAGGACUUCAUACGAGGUGCUGCAUGGUUGUCGUCAGCCCGUGCCGUGAGGUGUUAGGUUAGGUCCUGCAACGAGCGCAACCCCUGUUUUUAGUUGCCAGCAGGUUAUGCUGGGCACUCUAGAAAGACUGCCUGCGCAAGCAGAGAGGAAGGUGGGGAUGACGUCAAAUCAGCACGGCCCUUACGUCCAGGGCUACACACGUGCUACAAUGGUCGGCACAGAGGGUGGCUACCCGGCAACGGGAUGCUAAUCUCCAAAGUCGAUCUUAGUUCGGAUCGAAGUCUGCAACUCGACUUCGUGAAGUUGGAUUCGCUAGUAAUCGUAUAUCAGCCAUGAUACGGUGAAUACGUUCCCGGGCCUUGUACACACCGCCCGUCAAGCCAUGGAAGUUGGGGGUACCUGAAGUCGAUUACCGAAAGGGAUUGCCUAGGGUAAACCGAUAACUGGGGCUAAGUCGU
rnacentral:rRNA from 1 species